AUUAAUUUACUGUUGAGUACACACCUAAAAGAGGAACGCUUUCGUUAAAGGAACAAUGAACCAAAGCCCAAAUUCGUAAAAUGCAAGCCACCGGUGCCGUUCACUUUUCUACAUUUAAGCCUCCUUCCUUUCCUUCUUAACAUCCCCAUUUCUUACCGGAAUAAUUCCCCUAACCCGCCGGAGCCGCCGGAGCCCUGCCGCCGGUGUGUCUCCUUCACCCGCUUCCCUAUAAGAUGAAGCGGGGCUUUACCUUUUCUCCUCCUGUCACCGUCGUCGUCUUGGCAAUCUCAUUUAUCUACUUCUCCACCCUCUUCGUCUUCAUCGACCGCUGGUUCGGCCUUAUGUCCUCGCCUGGAAUUAUGAACGCCAUCGUCUUCACCGCCGUCGCUCUCAUGUGCAUCACCAAUUACGCCCUCGCUAUCUUUACGGAUCCCGGUCGGGUCCCUUCGACCUACAUGCCUGACAUCGAGGAUUCCGAAAACCCUAUUCACGAGAUCAAGCGUAAGGGAGGUGACCUGAGAUACUGCCAAAAGUGUUCUCAAUACAAGCCUCCUCGUGCACAUCAUUGUCGAGUUUGCAAAAGAUGCAUUUUGCGAAUGGACCACCAUUGCAUUUGGAUAAAUAAUUGCGUCGGCCAUGAAAACUAUAAGGUGUUCUUCGUGUUUGUCGUGUACGCUGUAGUUGCAUGUAUCUACUCCCUGGUAUUACUCCUUGGCAGUCUUACAAUUGAUCCUCUUAAGGAUGAGCAGCAAGUUGGAGGCCCUUUUAGGACUGUUUAUAUUGUUGCUGGGCUGUUGCUAUUCCCUCUAAGUAUGGCUUUGACUGUUCUUUUAGGUUGGCACAUUUACCUCAUUUUGCACAACAAGACUACAAUAGAGGCAUUUUAUUUGCUUUUUAGUAUCACGAAGGUGUAAGAGCUAUGUGGCUUGCGGAGAAAGGUGGGAACGUGUAUUCACAUCCAUAUGAUCUUGGUGCCUUCGAGAAUCUUACGACGAUUCUUGGCCCAAAUAUUUUCAGCUGGAUAUGCCCCACGUCGAGACAUAAAGGCUCUGGUCUUCGUUUCCGAACAGCUUACGACAAAUCUAUUAGUGCAUCAUUGUGAAAGGAAAGUUUCGUUUCUACCCACGACAUUUGUUUAAGAACAACAAGCUAUGCACCUCUGGAUGACCAUCAAGGAUUCAUAUUUACUGAGCUCUAUAGCAGAGUGAUGGUUCUUUGGAGAACCCAAAUCUCAAACAGCAUUCUAACUGUUGAAUAGAUAUGUGACUUCUGUGACUUGUUGGAGAGUUUCUGAGAUUGUCUACUACAACCUUUUCCUUGACGACAUCAAGAGCUCAGCGAAACUGUUUCGGGUAUAAAUUUAUCCUUUCCUGUUUGUUUUAGAAAAUCCAUCUGAAGUUAGGGUCUGCAAAACGAAGCAGUUUAUAGGUUAAUGUAGAAAAAGAGAGAUCCCAGAUGUGGCCGGGUGUUUGUGUACAUGAGUUCAUUCGUCAUGCUAACAAAUUGUUUUGUGUAGUUGUAGCUCUGUAACUUGUAACAACAAAAAAAUGAAGGUAAAUUGCAAUUAAGAUAUAAUAUAAUCUUUUUUCCCCUUUGAAAGACUA